rnacentral:lncRNA from 1 species
GAGAAAACACUGAUUUGUAACACUAGAAAAAGCCAAGAUAUAUCUUUGGCCAAUUUCUUAACCACACUUCUUUAGCCAUAAAAUUUUUCAUUUAUUUUACUUUUUCAGUUAUUUAUUGAAAUAACUAUCCAGAAAACAUUUUUUAAAAAGCUUUUACAUCCAGAGCUAGACUCAAUAUUAAAAGUUGGACUUAUUUUUGUACGUUAAUCUUCUAAACGGUCAUCUGCUCUUCCAGAACGCCCUAUCUCAGCGGCCAGCAUGAUGGUCCAUCCCGAGCCACAAGUCGUCUUUUCUGCUUCUGCCCUCCCUCACUCUCACAGCUAAUCCAACACCAAGUCUCAUCAAUUUUACUUCCUAAUACCACUCCACUCCAUCCACCUCUCUCCACACCCACUGCCACCGCCCUAGGAUAAGACAUUUUCAUCUCUUGUUUGCAUUCCCAUUAGUCUCCUUCCUAGGCUCCUACACCGCACUUGAACCCUGUAAUCAAUUCCCGCCUCUGCACUGCGGUCACCACCCCCAGUGCUCUCCCCACCUUAAAUUGCCCUGCGACGACCAACAUCUUCCAUGAGGCCAAAAGGCCGUUCCCACCUCUCCAGCCUCGUUAUAUACCAAACUUCCUUCCCUGCCGAAGCCACAACGCCUUUCAGAUUCUGGAAAUGCUCUUCCCCUUGGUUUAGGAAACACCAGAUGCUUGCCUGCUGCUAUCAUUCUUCUAAUUACCUCCCUAGCUAAGCCACACCUCCCUCCUCCCUGUCUCCCGCCCCCAUCUGAUUGUUGAGCUCAACAUUAAAUGCUUCCACAGUAGGGUUUCUUUCCUUUAUGGCACUUACUACAAUUACAAUUUUGUGAUUACCUUAUGACCGUCUCUCUCCUUCACUAGAUGGUAAUUUCUAUGAAGCAGGGAAUGAAUCUCAUUUAUCCUUUAUUGUAUUGUGCCUGGCACAAUAAACAGUAGUUCAUUUUCCAGAACCCUCUCCACUCUAUCUACUUUCUUAGACUGAGGCCUCUCGUGACAUGGACUUGGAACUGCGGCUUUUCAGGGAGAAAACUUCUCAGGAGUCUUAUACAUACAUGAAGCCUACUAAAUGACAAAUGGGGGAAAAGGAAAAAUCCCACAAUCCCUUAGCGACCUUCCCCAACAAAGCUUCCUCCGGGGGCUGCAAGGAGCAAGGCAACAGUCCCGUCUGCCCUUCCCGCUCUGGGGCAGAAACCAGGACCAAGCGGCCAGGAGCGCUCCGAGAAUGCACACCCGGUCACGUGCACCGGCGGCGGCCACGCCCACCCCGGAAGGGGACCUGCGGCGCGCCUCGGCUGGAGAAGGGCCCCAGCGACGUAAGGCGUGCGUGCGUACGUGCGCCGGGAUGGCGAGGCGGAAGGGCCAGGGGACUGAAGGAGCGGCUCCGGGCUACCGGGACAGCGGCUUGCGCCCGAAGUCAGCUUUAGCGCCUGGCUGAGUCCCCGACCCGCGGCAGGGCCUGCGGGGCCUCUCUGCGUCCCGCCCGACGGGAUGGGUGGCAGUGACCUUCCAGGGACACGGCCGAGGGCAAUGUCGCUUCCUUCACAGGUGAGCAGACGGAGCCGGGCGCUAAGAGGUUGCCCCGGCGGCGUCGGUGACUGCGCUCGGUGACCGCGCGGGGCCGCCGGGACAGACGGAGGGGGCCGGCGGAUGGGGAAACUAGUUCAGCCUGAAGUAGCUGCUUGGGAGCAAGGACCGAGGCUCCGUUUCCUCAUCACGUCCACGGCGUCUGGCACGGAGGCGCUGAUGUUGGCUGAAAUAGUGAAGUGAACCCAGACGCAGCUCGUGUGUGUGACCCGAAGUCCGAGGACACCCUUGUUACCCCAUUUCACGGAGGAAGGAACUGAAGCAUAAAGAAGUUAAGUAAUUUGCCCAAGGACACACAACUAGUAGAGAAUCAAGAAUAAAAAGACCCAGGCAGCCUGGUGCCAGAGUUGGUGCUCUGAAUGCCGGAUGUUCCUUCUGCUGCUGAAUAAAGAAGAGCGAAGCCAAGUUCCAAGUCCGGGAGGAUACUGAGCGUAAUGUGUAAAAUUGAUGGAAGACUUGAAUAGCUAAACGAAAGACUUGAAAUUUGGUAAGAUGAGGAUGUGAAUUAAAUUCACACCCAGUGAUCGUGCGUAGCCCAAGCUCCUGCCAGCAUCCAGUUUGUAGCCCCUCUUUGAAGCCCCAUCUCUAAGUGUCCAGAGUAGAUGCUUUGGGAGAUUUUCUAGACUGCCGUUGUCAGAUGUCUCAACAAGAAGGAGAUGCUUUAGUAUUCCUGGAAGGAGAGGAACAGAAAAGGGGUGGGCGUUAGAGACCUGCCCUCAGACAGAAGCUGUUUUUUUCAUCUGCUCCCUUGAACUCUGCUUUGCCCUCCAGCUCAGUGGGACACGGCAGCUUUUAAAGAGCCUGCCUUGGGCUCAGCUCUGUCCCGACAGACUUUGCAGACUCUUGAAUAAAGACGGUAAAGCAGGCAACUGGCCCUCCUAGGACCCUUCCCUAUAUUUAUGGCCUCUACUUGUGGAGGCAUCCUUCUUGGUUUAGGGAGGUCAUGUUACUGUGCCGUAAACUAUCUGGUUCAGUAUGUGCAUAGAGGAGGACUCUCGGAGGUCUAUAGAGCUUUCCCAAUUAUUAUUGUUUCUACCCAUAAUUUACAAAAAAAAAGAACCGAAAAAUACCAAAGUGUAACUCAGUAAGAUUCAAAUCCUGGGGGCUCUAAAACGUCUACCUUUUCUUCCACGAUGAGAUUCCAUGGUUGGUCCCUGAAUGACACAUUUUCUCACACAACGCCUAUUGUGGUGUUUUGCUCUGAUGAAGGAUUAAAGGAGAUAUUUUGUCCCUGUCCUUGCCUGUCAUCUUUCAGAGUCACCUCUCUCUCCGCUGGCAUGGAGGGAACCUUCCGAACAAGGAGACUCGUAAGAGGCAGUUACUUAGCCCGAGGUCGUUGAGGUUCAAUAUAUCUGUUCCACAAAGUAAUUAUCCUAUGAGUGAUUCCGUUAAGAAGUUACUAACACUAGGCUGUGACUUUAUGAUGCCACAAUGACAGCAACAAUUACUUUAAGAAGCUAAUGUUAAACUAAUCGAAAUCCUAGGUUUAUUUUGAAGUUAAGUAGCUGUGGCAAAGCCUGGGUGGGUUCAGAUAUUCAGCAUAUUCUCCAACAAAUAGUUGUGAAUGGAUCAUAGGUAGUUAAUCUACAUCUUCCUCCAUUAGGUUGUAAGUUCUUAUCAGGGCAGUUUUGCUAAAAUGGGGGAGCCGAAGAAGUCUUAUGUGUCAGAUCUAUGCAGUGCAAACUAAAUCUGGCUGAGAGCAGCUGUCUUGAAUGGCAGCAACCUCUCAUCACAGAGCCAGUUUGAAUAGCUGAGAGGGUCCAUGCUCUCCUGAGUUUUUGUUGACAGACUUGUCAAAAAGGACACGGAAAGCAAGGUGCGCAGGCAGCUCUGGCUGAGCAUGAGGUCGCUCAGGACAAACCUCCUGGAGAUGCUCUCAGUCCAAUCCUGUGUCUGUUAGCAUCACAUCAGAAAGCUGGUGGCCUCACCGAGUGUCUGCCAUUUAUCCUCAGGCAGAACUGUGAUUAAUCCAUUCCAAACACGUAAACAUCCAGAAACAAAAACAAAAACAAAAAACUCCAGGAGAGGAGAUUUAGCCCUCCCUCAGGAGCUCCUGUCAGUGUUUUAAAGGACUUAGGGGUCUUUUCCUUUAAGUAACCAAAAUCCCUCGUGUGGCUACUUCUGCCAGUUCCCCAGAGGAGCUGGAGAACAUCGGGUGACCACAUUUGUGUUAAACCCUUUAUGUGCUCUCAAACUAUUAUUUGAUUCAGAAUAAAUUUCAUUAUCAUGUGUAAGAUUUCCCAUAACAUUAGACUCCAAAUUAAUCAUUUCUCUUGUCAAAAAAUGAUGGCCCCGAUUAUUAAAACAUGAUGGUGGUUGUGAAUGAGCAAAAUAAAUUUAUCUA